rnacentral:lncRNA from 1 species
UGAAUUAAAAAUAACCAGAAAAGAGAAAAUUCACAAAAAAUAUCAAAUGACAAAAUAAAAAAUAUUAAAAAUCAUUUUCAGAAACUAGAAUUAAAAAGAAGAAUAAUGCAAUUGGUCUCAUAUUUUUUGGAUUUAAAAUGAAAGAGAUAUGAAUUUUUGAAAUAAAAUGAAAUAAAGAAAAUAAAAUGAAAUAAAUCAGAAAAU